rnacentral:rRNA from 1 species
AAGCACUCAUGAUCAGACUUGGGCGUGGUAAAUCAUCCAGCGUUCUCGCUGGUGCACUUUGCCUGUCCAGGCCAGCAUCAGUUCGCUCCGGGGGAUAAAGGCUUUGGGAAUGUGGCUCCCUCGGGAGUGUUAUAGCCCAUUGCACAAUACCCUGUGGCGGACUGAGGUAAGCGCUUCCGCAAGGAUGCUGGCGUAAUGGUCAUCAGUGA